rnacentral:rRNA from 1 species
AUAUCAAUAAGCGGAGGAAAAGAAACCAACAGGGAUUGCCCCAGUAACGGCGAGUGAAGCGGCAAUAGCUCAAAUUUGAAAUCUGGCUCUUUCAGGGUCCGAGUUGUAAUUUGCAGAGGGCGCUUUGGCGUCGGCAGCAGCCUAAGUUCCUUGGAACAGGUCAUCAUAGAGGGUGAGAAUCCCGUAUGUGGCUGCUUGUCUUCGCCGUGUAAAGCCCCUUCGAUGAGUCGAGUUGUUUGGGAAUGCAGCUCUAAAUGGGAGGUAAAUUUCUUCUAAAGCUAAAUAUUGGCCAGAGACCGAUAGCGCACAAGUAGAGUGAUCGAAAGAUGAAAAGCACUUUGGAAAGAGAGUCAAAAAGCACGUGAAAUUGUUGAAAGGGAAGCGCUUGCAGCCAGACGUGCCCGUAGUUGCUCAUCGGGGGUUCUCCCCCGUGUACUCUUCUAUGGGCAGGCCAGCAUCAGUCCGGGCGGUUGGAGAAAGACCUGUGUCAUGUAGCUGUUUUCGGGCAGUGUUAUAGGGCAGGUGGAAUGCAACCAGCCUGGACUGAGGUCCGCGCAUCUGCUAGGAUGCUGGCGUAAUGGCUGUAAGCGGCCCGUCUUGAAACACGGACCAAGGAGUCUAACAUCUAUGCGAGUGUUUGGGUGU